rnacentral:rRNA from 1 species
GUGGGGAAUAUUGGACAAUGGGCGAAAGCCUGAUCCAGCAAUGCCGCGUGAGUGAUGAAGGCCUUAGGGUUGUAAAGCUCUUUUACCCGGGAAGAUAAUGACUGUACCGGGAGAAUAAGCCCCGGCUAACUCCGUGCCAGCAGCCGCGGUAAUACGGAGGGGGCUAGCGUUGUUCGGAAUUACUGGGCGUAAAGCGCACGCAGGCGGGUUUGUAAGUUAGAGGUGAAAGCCUGGGGCUCAACCCCAGAAUUGCCUUUAAGACUGCAUCACUGGAACGUCGGGGAGGUGAGUGGAAUUCCUAGUGUAGAGGUGAAAUUCGUAGAUAGUCGGAAGAACACCAGUGGCGAAGGCGGCUCACUAGACGACUGUUGACGCUGAGGUGCGAAGGCGUGGGGAGCAAACAGGAUUAGAAACCCUAGUAGUCC